rnacentral:rRNA from 1 species
GAUGAACGCUGGCGGCGUGCUUAACACAUGCAAGUCGAACGAUGAAGCCCAGCUUGCUGGGUGGAUUAGUGGCGAACGGGUGAGUAACACGUGAGUAACCUGCCCUUAACUCUGGGAUAAGCCUGGGAAACUGGGUCUAAUACCGGAUAGGAGCGUCCACCGCACGUGGGGUGUUGGGAAGAUUUAUCGGUUUUGGAUGGACUCGCGGCCUAUCAGCUUGUUGGUGGGGUAUUGGCUCACCAAGGCGACGACGGGUAGCCGGCCUGAGAGGGUGACCGGCCACACUGGGACUGAGACACGGCCCAGACUCCUACGGGAGGCAGCAGUGGGGAAUAUUGCACAAUGGGCGCAAGCCUGAUGCAGCGACGCCGCGUGAGGGAUGACGGCCUUCGGGUUGUAAACCUCUUUCAGUAGGGAAGAAGCGAAAGUGACGGUAACUGCAGAAGAAGCACCGGCUAACUACGUG